rnacentral:misc_RNA from 1 species
GAUCAAUCCAGCCAGCUCCGGGCAACAAUUCUUAUCCGGCACCGUCACAUUACUAGAUUGCCCCACAUAAGUCAAACAAUCCGACAUGUUGAGCACCGGUGUCAUGCAGUCGAGUGUUGUCGGCGCCGAUGACGGCCCUAAAGGUGAAGGUGCUGAAGGCGGCAACUGCGCAGGGGAGGGCGCCUGGGCGUACGCCGUGCAUAAUGUGGAGGAGAAAAUGAAGGCAACAAUUGCGGCGGUGCGUAGCGCGAGCAUUAUGUGCGGUGGUUAGAUUUGUGCUUCAGCGGCAGUUUAAAGGUUUAGAAGGAAAGUGAUAUGGAAGUUAUAAAAUGGAGAAUUGG